rnacentral:rRNA from 1 species
AUUGAACGCUGGCGGCAUGCUUUACACAUGCAAGUCGAACGGUAACAGGUUAAGCUGACGAGUGGCGAACGGGUGAGUAAUGCAUCGGAACGUGCCCGGUCGUGGGGGAUAACGCAGCGAAAGCUGCGCUAAUACCGCAUACGAUCUGAGGAUGAAAGCGGGGGACCGUAAGGCCUCGCGCGAUCGGAGCGGCCGAUGUCAGAUUAGGUAGUUGGUGGGGUAAAGGCUCACCAAGCCGACGAUCUGUAGCUGGUCUGAGAGGACGACCAGCCACACUGGGACUGAGACACGGCCCAGACUCCUACGGGAGGCAGCAGUGGGGAAUUUUGGACAAUGGGCGCAAGCCUGAUCCAGCAAUGCCGCGUGCAGGAAGAAGGCCUUCGGGUUGUAAACUGCUUUUGUACGGAGCGAAAAGGUCUUCCCUAAUACGGGAGGCUGAUGACGGUACCGUAAGAAUAAGCACCGGCUAACUACGUGCCAGCCGCCGCAGUAACAC